rnacentral:rRNA from 1 species
CCUACGGGUGGCAGCAGUAGGGAAUCUUCCACAAUGGGCGAAAGCCUGAUGGAGCAACGCCGCGUGGGUGAAGAAGGUCUUCGGAUCGUAAAACCCUGUUGUUAGAGAAGAAAGUGCGUGAGAGUAACUGUUCACGUUUCGACGGUAUCUAACCAGAAAGCCACGGCUAACUACGUGCCAGCAGCCGCGGUAAUACGGAAGGCCCGAGCGUUAUCCGGAUUCAUUGGGCUUAAAGGGAGCGUAGGCGGGCGUUCAAGUCAGCUGUAAAAUCGCGCGGCUCAACCGCGCCCCGCAGUUGAAACUGGACGCCUUGAGUUCACAACAGGCAGGCGGAAUGCGUGGUGUAGCGGUGAAAUGCAUAGAUAGCACGAGGAACCCCGAUUGCGAAGGCAGCCUGCCGGGGUGCGACUGACGCUGAGGCUCGAAGGUGCGGGUAUCAAACAGGAUUAGAUACCCCAGUAGUC